rnacentral:lncRNA from 1 species
AAAAAAAAAACUCAUAACAUUUUUUUUAUUAAAUAACACUUAAAUAAAAUCUGAAAAUAUUAUUAGAAACCUAAAUACCCAAAAUUGAAUAAUAAAAAUUAAACAAAAGAAAAAAGAAAAAGAUUUCCGUUUCUAAAAUUUGAAAAUACUAUCAGCCCUAACAAUUCUCUCUCUAGUUCGCCUCCCCCCAAAUCCGAGUCCGCCGCGCCGCGCCCCCCAUCUACCGCGCCUUCAUCCAGCUCCCCCAGUCCAUCGCGCCCUCGGUCUGCCUCCGUCUGCCCCAAAAUCAGCGUAUAAUUCCCCACCCAACCAAACCCUAACACU